rfam:Arabis alpina cultivar Pajares chromosome 1, whole genome shotgun sequence.
AACCCGUGAUGAGGACAAUCUCUCUGAUAUCCCUUGAACCUUUCCCACGCAUCCUUGAAUGCUUCCAUUGGACCCUGAACGAAUGUGGAGAUCUUAGCUCGUGGAA